UACGAAGGGGGCUAGCGUUACUCGGAAUCACUGGGCGUAAAGCGCACGUAGGCGGCUUACUAAGUCAGGGGUGAAAUCCUGGAGCUCAACUCCAGAACUGCCUUUGAUACUGGUGAGCUUGAGUCCGGAAGAGGUGAGUGGAACUGCGAGUGUAGAGGUGAAAUUCGUAGAUAUUCGCAAGAACACCAGUGGCGAAGGCGGCUCACUGGUCCGGUACUGACGCUGAGGUGCGAAAGCGUGGGGAGCAAACAGG
rnacentral:rRNA from 1 species